CACGGAGUUAGCCGAUGCUUUUCUUCGGAUACACGCAGUCCGGGACACGUCCCGGGUUUUGUUCUCCGACAAAAGAGGUUUACAACCCAUAGGGCCGUCUUCCCUCACGCGGCUUGGCUGGUUCAGGAUCUCUCCCAUUGACCAAUAUUCCUCACUGCUGCCUCCCGUAGGAGUCUGGUCCGUGUCUCAGUACCAGUGUGGGGGACCUUCCUCUCAGAACCCCUACGCAUCGUCGCCACGGUGGGCCGUUACCCCGCCGUCAAGCUAAUGCGCCGCAUGCCCAUCCUCUUCCGAUGAAUCUUUCCUCGAUCUCGGAUGCCCGAAACCGAUAUACGCGGGAUUAGCCUCCCUUUCGGAAGGUUGUCCCCCUGAAGAGGGCAGGUUGCAUACGUGUUACUCACCCGUGCGCCGGUCGCCGGCAAGGAAAGCAAGCUUCCCUCCCGAUGCCCCUCGACUUGCAUGUGUUAAGCCUGCCGCUAGCGUUCAUCCUGAGCCAGGAUCAAACUCU
rnacentral:rRNA from 1 species